CGUAGGGUGCGAGCGUUGUCCGGAUUUAUUGGGCGUAAAGAGCUCGUAGGCGGUUUGUCGCGUCGGCCGUGAAAACCUACAGCUUAACUGUGGGCUUGCGGUCGAUACGGGCAGACUUGAGUUCGGCAGGGGAGACUGGAAUUCCUGGUGUAGCGGUAGAAAUGCGCAGAUAUCAGGAGGAACACCGGUGGCGAAGGCGGGCCUCGUGGGCCGAUACUGACGCUGAGGAGCGAAAGCGUGGGGAGCGAACAGGAUU
rnacentral:rRNA from 1 species